UUUACAUUCGAGCUCCCGGCACACUGCGGCUCUGCCCUGCAGCUGCACCGUUUACAGCCCAGCUCAUGGAAGUGUAGCCGGGGUGAUAUGAGGACACGUCCCUCUCCUCGGUCACGGUUUCAGUUACAGAGGUGAUGGCCAAUUAAAUUCCGACGCUGCUAUGGGCGGACAACGUACCGUCCACCCCCCCUCCCACACACACGCACUCCCACACACACUGCGCCUGGCGCUCAGAGAAACCAAAAGUAACGCAAAGUCUUAUACCUGCUUGUUAUCCCUGAGCUCCGGAGCCGUCGCUAUGUCUCUGCCCGCCGCGUCCCACCUGCUGAGGAGCGCCCUGAGGACCCAGCUCGUGCCUGUGGCCAAUUUGUCGUCCAAACCCGCCAAACACGUCAUCUCUGCAGGGGAGCAGGCGAUUGCUAUGACGGUCUUUUUCACGGCCAUCUUGGGGCCCUCCGGCUGGGUGCUGGCUCACCUGGAGGACUACAAGAACAAGAAGGACUAAAAGGGCAUGAGGGGGAGGAUGGGGGAGAAUCAUUCCGUCCAAGACGCAGUCAGCCCUCCCUCCCCAUCCAGCUCCGUCUGCUCCACCUCUCCUCAGCUGAUGAGACUAAUAACCACUUACCUGCCUCCUGACCUGUGAUAAUGUACAUCUGUGCACCUAUCAACUGUUACCAAUAAACACAUGUUUGCAGUGAGAA